CAGUAGCCGCGGUAAUACAGAGGGUGCGAGCGUUAAUCGGAUUUACUGGGCGUAAAGCGUGCGUAGGCGGCUUUUUAAGUCGGAUGUGAAAUCCCUGAGCUUAACUUAGGAAUUGCAUUCGAUACUGGGAAGCUAGAGUAUGGGAGAGGAUGGUAGAAUUCCAGGUGUAGCGGUGAAAUGCGUAGAGAUCUGGAGGAAUACCGAUGGCGAAGGCAGCCAUCUGGCCUAAUACUGACGCUGAAGCACGAAAGCGUGGGGAGCAAACAGGAUUAGAUACCCCAGUAGUCCCUGUCUCUUAUAC
rnacentral:rRNA from 1 species